rnacentral:rRNA from 1 species
CGAGUGGCGGACGGGUGAGUAAUACGUAGGAACCUACCCUAAAGAGGGGGAUAGCCACAGGAAACUGUGGGUAAAACCGCAUAGAACUCUAAGGAGGAAAGGAAUUAUAUCUGAGAGGGUAUCAUUCGCUUAAGGAUGGGCUUACGGUGGAUUAGCUAGUUGGAGAGGUAAAGGCUCCCCAAGGCGACGAUCCAUAGCUGGUCUGAGAGGACGAACAGCCACACUGGGACUGAGACACGGCCCAGACUCC